GAAAAUGCCAAAUGAUGUCUUCACUAUGACAAACCUCUUUGUUAUGAGCCUUGCUUGAUGAUAUUUCAGUAUUUGUCUUUCAGAUCAAUGAACAAUUCCACAGGCUCACCGCAAAGCAUCUUGAGGCAAGGUUUAUGCAGGACACCCCUAAGCCCCCUAAGUCCUUAUUCCAUUCCAAGGGAGGAGUACUUUCAGACAGAUUGCGGGUCAUGCUGGAUGGAAGCUGAGGGGGGUCAUUUCCUGCAAGACCUUGCGCAACAUGUAAAGCAAAUCUAUGCGAUCAACGAGGAGGGUGCCGUGGCGAGUGAUGGUCCAGAGGAGCAGGUCAGGAACGGUGUCCUCUACCACAGGCCCGCUUGUUGUUGGUGAAGCCGCCUGGGGCACAGAAUCUGUGCUGGGACCAACCUCUGCCUACCGGGGGAUGGUCACCGAGAGGCGGGGCUCGAGCAUAUUGCGGUCUGGGACCCCGUCCCCGAUGGGUCCGUGGCGGUCAUCUAGGCUAAAGAGGUUAGAGGGUUCAAUCCAGCUGAAAUUGGGUUUUUGGUCGAGUAUGCUG